rnacentral:sRNA from 1 species
UGUCAGAGGUCCAGAGAGUCAGAUUGUCACGAAGAAGUUGCAUGAUCAAGGUGCUGUCCUUGUAAGACUCCUCGCCAAGAGUGUCCAGUUCAGCAAUAGCAUCGUCGAACGCCUAAAAUAAAGACAUGAACACGGUCUGGUGAGUUCAGUAUCUCAUAGUAGAACACUGAGAAGUUCAGUGCAAGUCCAAGCCUUAUCGGGUGAGUUGUAGGCAGGUCAGCGAGCCAACCUGGGCAGACUUGUAUGCCACAAGAGUGUUCUCAGCUGCUUCCUUCCUCUCAGCUCCUGACUUAAACUCAGCAAGGUACCUAUAGUAGUCACCCUUCAUUUUCAGGUAGAACACCUUGGACUCUGCAGCAGUGGCAGAUGGGACAAGGUGGGAAUCCAGAAGCUUAAGGAUACCAUCACAGAUCUUGCUGAGCUCAGUUUCAAUCCUGCUACGGUACUCCUUAAUUGAUGCAACAUAUGCCUCAUUCCCACGGCUCUCCUCCUUCUGCUCAAUAGAAGAGAUGAUCCUCCACGAUGCCCUCCGAGCACCAAUCACGUUCUUGUAAGCCACAGAAAGCAGGUUCCGCUCCUCAACGGUGAGCUCACCAACAUCAGUGGUCUUUGCCACCUUCUCCAUGAAUUCGACCAUUUCCUCGUAACGCUCAGCCUGCUCGGCAAGCUUUGCCAUGUACACAUUCUCCUCACGCGAUGCCUCAGCAGGCGACAUUUU